CCAAUAGCGUAUAUUAAAGUUGUUGCAGUUAAAAAGCUCGUAGUUGAACUUCGGGAUCAAUUAGUUGGUCAUGCCUUGGUAUGUACUGAUUUUAUUGGUUCUCACCUUCUAAAGAACUAUAAUGUCAUUUAUUUGAUGUUAUAGGGAAUUAGGACUGUUACCUUGAAAAAAUUAGAGUGUUUAAAGCAGGCUCACGCUUGAAUACAUUAGCAUGGAAUAAUGAAAUAGGACAUCGCAUUCUAUUUUGUUGGUUUCUAGGAUCGAUGUAAUGAUUAAUAGGGAUAGUUGGGGGCAUUAGUAUUCAAUUGUCAGAGGUGACAUUCUUGGAUUUAUUGAAGACUAACUACUGCGAAAGCAUUUGCCAAGGAUGUUUUCAUUAAUCAAGAACGAAAGUUAGGGGAUCGAAGACGAUCAGAUACCGUCGUAGUCUUAACCAUAAACUAUGCCGACUAGGGAUCGGAUGAUGUUGAUUUUUUAAUGACUCAUUCGGCACCUUACG
rnacentral:misc_RNA from 1 species